GUGGGGAAUAUUGGACAAUGGGCGAAAGCCUGAUCCAGCCAUGCCGCGUGUGUGAAGAAGGUCUUCGGAUUGUAAAGCACUUUAAGUUGGGAGGAAGGGCAGUAAGUUAAUACCUUGCUGUUUUGACGUUACCGACAGAAUAAGCACCGGCUAACUUCGUGCCAGCAGCCGCGGUAAUACGAAGGGUGCAAGCGUUAAUCGGAAUUACUGGGUGUAAAGCGCGCGUAGGUGGUUUUGUAAGUUGGAGGUGAAAUCCCCGGGCUCAACCUGGGAACUGCCUCCAAAACUGCAUGACUAGAGUACGGUAGAGGGUAGUGGAAUUUCCUGUGUAGCGGUGAAAUGCGUAGAUAUAGGAAGGAACACCAGUGGCGAAGGCGACUACCUGGACUGAUACUGACACUGAGGUGCGAAAGCGUGGGGAGCAAACAGGAUUAGAAACCCUAGUAGUCC
rnacentral:rRNA from 1 species